ensembl:lncRNA
AUUUUUUAAAGCAGGUUUUCUAUCUUAAAAUGAGGAGGGAAGAUAAGCACUUGUAUUCAGUAGUGCCUGAAUUUCUGACUUUGUUAACCGUAAGGUUGUUCUUUCUCUACAAGCAUUGUGUACAAGUUAGGUGAUUCUGAGACUGGAAGCGAAGCUGAGGGUUUCUGCAUCCAUUUCAAGGAGUGAGGCUCACAUCAUAACAUGCUGCACUCUGCGUUGGUAAGUCCUGGUCUUUGGAUCUUGUGUGCUGCAAUUCAUGGAGUUUGUUCUUGUUUUUCUCUCAGGUAUAGAAGAAUAGAAUCCUUCGAGUUGGAAGGGACCUCUGAGAGCAAUCUAGUCCAACUGCGUUGCAAUGAACAGGGACACCACAUCUAGAUCAGGUUGCCCAUGGCCUGAUCCAGCCUCACCUUGAAGGUCUCCAGGGACGGGGCAUCAGCCACAUCACUGGGCAGUCUGUUCCAGUGCCUCACCACCCUCACUUAGAAUACUUCUCAUUUAAGAAUGAAAGUUCAGAAUGUAAAAGAAAAAAUGAGUCAGAUGAACAAGAAGGUGAGUCUCAGUAGCUACUGGUCAAGUCAAUUAUCUAGAAAAGGGGAUUCUUUGGGUUUCAGAGUCCCACUCUUAAGACAGCGUAUUUUAAAUUAGAUGUCAUAACGUAUAAUACACUGUUCUAAUACUGAGUUGUUCUUUCUCUCAUUUUAAUGCAAAUUUGCAGUGGCUUUAGUGAAGCAGUUUGUUUUUAAAGCUGAGGGGAGGGGAAAACUACGUAUGAUACCAAGUUUAGAUAUAGUUUCUGUAUAAUCUGUGCUAAACUGGCUAUGCAGGAGAUUGACUCCCUAAAAGGGAUUUGCAUCAUUUGAAGCAAAUUUCAUGGAAUAAGUUUAUUUCUUUUAAACUUAUAUAACUUAUGUAUAAGCACUUGAAGGUUCUUAAUGGUCUUCAGUACCUUCAGACACAAAUUCCAUGCUGAUCUUUUAGAAAAUACUGACGUUUGUGGUUGUAAACUGUAAUCUUAGCUUCUAAAAAUGGAAUAAAAGCUGUUCGUAU